UAUAGCAUCUUUAAAUGUUAAAAUCUCAACAGCUUCAGGGGGCUUUGCUCCCCUGUACCCCCAGCAGGUGCACUGCCCCUGCACCCCGCAAAGGGCUUGCAGCCCCCUUGACCCAUGCUGAUAGUUUCUUACAUUCCUCUAUUUUUUUCAAUUACUGCUGGGAUCCCUGGCUUAACCUCUGCCUACUACUCUCUCUUACUUGCCCCUUUCUCAGAAAUAUAUUGAGAGGGCUGUGUGUGUGUGGACAGAAAACUGUUGGCCAGUGAGUCAUCCAUUAUACAUUCUAAGAGAGAAGCCACAGUCUGGUUAACAUCUGUCUGACAGCUGCAUUUGGCCCUGGGACUAAAUCCCUGCUCUCGGGUCAUGGGUUCAAUCCUGAUCUCUAGUGACUCUGUGGACUUCCUGUGCAUGUUCACGUUGUCUUCAUUUAGAGUGAUUUUGAAAAAAAGUCAACAGCGUGGCAGGACGGUGCCAAAGGAGCAGACGGGUGCCAAAGGAACGCAAGGUUUGCCAGAAGUUAAGCAAAGCCAAAUGCCAGACAUUUUAGCCAAUUUAGAAAUACUGGACACCGGCCCGAAAAGGAGGACAUGUCCAGGAAAAAGAGGACAUACACUACCGUUCAAAAGUUUGGGGUCACCCAGACAAUUUUGUGUUUUCCAUGAAAAGUCACACUUUUAUUUACCACCAUAAGUUGUAAAAUGAAUAGAAAAUAUAGUCAAGACAUUUUUCUGGCCAUUUUGAGCAUUUAAUCGACCCCACAAAUGUGAUGCUCCAGAAACUCAAUCUGCUCAAAGGAAGGUCAGUUUUAUAGCUUCUCUAAAGAGCUAAACUGUUUUCAGCUGUGCUAACAUGAUUGUACAAGGGUUUUCUAAUCAUCCAUUAGCCUUCUGAGGCAAUGAGCAAACACAUUGUACCAUUAGAACACUGGAGUGAGAGUUGCUGGAAAUGGGCCUCUAUACACCUAUGGAGAUAUUGCACCAAAAACCAGACAUUUGCAGCUAGAAUAGUCAUUUACCACAUUAGCAAUGUAUAGAGUGGAUUUCUGAUUAGUUUAAAGUGAUCUUCAUUGAAAAGAACAGUGCUUUUCUUUCAAAAAUAAGGACAUUUCAAAGUGACCCCAAACUUUUGAACGGUAGUGUAUGAUCAUCCUAACUCAUGUCUGCAUUGGUUUCCAUCAGGUUCCCUACCAAAACAGUAGUAGGUGGACUGGCUACACUAACCCUGGCUUCCCUUCUAAGGUGCGUUCUCACCUCAUACCCAGUGUUCCCAGGAUAGGCUUUGACCCAGACACCAUGACUCUGAUCAGUAGUACAAGCGAAUACACCAGCGGACUGCUAGGCGAGACGCGCGACAGGCAGAAGUCAACGUCCCCUCACGGACCAUCUCAAAGAAUAAAAGGUUCUGCCUCCGCCUAAAGGCUGUGCACCAGAGGCAGAUGGAGAGAAAAAGAGGAUUAUUGGAAUAAGGAAUGAAGAGAAGGAAGAGAGGAUAGUGAGUGUCAGCCUGCAGCGCUGCAGCAAGCGAUGCACUUGUCUCCUCAAUCUUCUGAUGCACCGCAUCCACACUCGCCACCCCAGCGACCUCUGACGUCUGUGGAGCCCCACCGCCAGCGUCCAUCGACACCCCUCCGAUGGAGGAGCGAGGUGGUUUAAUGGGUGGAGUGAUGGGUGUCUGUGGAGUCUGUGGACUUUGAGCUGGCGACGUUGGAGUUUUUGCUGCGCUAGGGGGAGUGACAGGGGGUGUUGCGAUCGUUAUGGUGACCGUCUGAUUGGCAGAUGACACCAGUGAAGUCACAGCAACUUUCUGAAUUAUAUUUUUAUUCGGUUUGGGAGCUGUGGGUGGAGGAGUGGGUUUCGGAGAAACUGGAGGAGGAAUUUUCUUCCCUUCAACUGCAGCAAACAUACACAGAAGAAGAUUAAAGCAAUAGUUUAACCAAAAUGAGGAAUGCACAAAGUUCCCAUUACCUCAGACAGAGCCAAUCAGCCAACUCAAGAAUUUAUUUGAAAGCUACAAGGUUAGUUUGUUCGCUUUGUAAUUCCAGUGCAAGAUCACGUAUUGGCUGAUCAGCGAGAUAUGGGGUAAGAGGAACGUUGUGUGUAUUUCAUUUUUUGUUAAACUGCUCCUACAAAAAGACCUUUUAACUCCUAGAUUUAUUGUAGGAGAGUAGAAUGGAUGGAAACAUGGAUGUACUGAAAUAGAACAUUGAAAACAAUCAAUGACGAUCAAUUUGCAAAACAAGGUUCUGAGAAGAGAUCAAAUGAGCUACUGAAUCGAAUAAGACAUCAACUACAGAAGCCAUGUAAAACAGUGAGAAUGUGGAAAUAAUGUGGAGAAAGCAGAAUGGCUGAGAAACAGAACAAACAAUGAAAUUUCACUGAGGGUAUCUGGCCACUAGAGCUCCAAAUAUAGCCACACAUUCGAGAAUAGAAGGUACUUUCUGGAAAGUCAUACUGUCAUUACAGGAGCAGAAAUGAAAAUAUCUUCUCACUGGCCACUAGUAGAGGUUACUUGACCACAGGCAGCUUUAGAAGUAUAGACCCUUUUCAGUCACGUGACCUUCGUGAACGCGACCACCAUUUUGGACAUGUAGCGGACUUCGCCUCGAAUUGGUUUGAAUGCGAGGAAGGCGACAAACGGAGAACAUACAAGAAAAAGGAGCGAGAUGCAGAAAACAACUUCGCUAUCCAGCGACGUAGGGCAUUUACAGGGCGAGCAGAGGGAGAGGUAUUUUCAAAAAUUGAGGUUAGCAGGCUUAGAGAGCGACGUUUAUCUGCUUCCGCCUGGAUUGUUUACAGACGUACGGAAGUACACGAAGCCCUCGUCUUUACCUGACUUCGGCCCACAUGAUCUGUAUACCUAUGUCGUUAAAAACCCAUCGCCAUACACAGGUAUUGAUCUGAAAACUCUUGUUUUGAACACUUAUUUGUAGGCAGUGCUUAAUUUGUAAAGUGGGAGGUCCCGGAGCACAGA